UACGAAGGGGGCUAGCGUUGCUCGGAAUCACCGGGCGUAAAGGGUGCGUAGGCGGGUCUUUUAAGUCAGGGGUGAAAUCCUGGAGCUCAACUCCAGAACUGCCUUUGAUACUGAAGAUCUUGAGUUCGGGAGAGGUGAGUGGAACUGCGAGUGUAGAGGUGAAAUUCGUAGAUAUUCGCAAGAACACCAGUGGCGAAGGCGGCUCACUGGCCCGAUACUGACGCUGAGGCACGAAAGCGUGGGGAGCAAACAGG
rnacentral:rRNA from 1 species